GAUGAACGCUGGCGGCGUGCCUAAUACAUGCAAGUCGAGCGAACAGAUGAGGAGCUUGCUCCUCUGACGUUAGCGGCGGACGGGUGAGUAACACGUGGAUAACCUACCUAUAAGACUGGGAUAACUUCGGGAAACCGGAGCUAAUACCGGAUAAUAUAUUGAACCGCAUGGUUCAAUAGUGAAAGACGGUUUUGCUGUCACUUAUAGAUGGAUCCGCGCCGCAUUAGCUAGUUGGUAAGGUAACGGCUUACCAAGGCAACGAUGCGUAGCCGACCUGAGAGGGUGAUCGGCCACACUGGAACUGAGACACGGUCCAGACUCCUACGGGAGGCAGCAGUAGGGAAUCUUCCGCAAUGGGCGAAAGCCUGACGGAGCAACGCCGCGUGAGUGAUGAUGGUCUUCGGAUCGUAAAACUCUGUUAUUAGGGAAGAACAAAUGUGUAAGUAACUAUGCACGUCUUGACGGUACCUAAUCAGAAAGCCACGGCUAACUACGUG
rnacentral:rRNA from 1 species